CAAAGUUUGCAGCAUAUAUGGGAGGAGGAGUUUGAGCAGUGGAUUCCCCUAACUUGGUCUGGUGUAACAAGUUCAUCAACUGGUCAUAAUCUUGUCUACUCAACCCUGGUAUCACAGAGCUCUGGCCAUCUAUUCUUGCAAGAAAUUGAUGGCUAGCAGGAGGAUUCCCUUGAGGAAUAGACAACAGUCCAUCAAAAAUAGGAGAAUCCAGACCAGUACUCAGGUGAGCAGCAGCAGGUCUCCUUCCCUUGUUAAAAGUGGUACUUUGUGGAUACCCAUGGAUCUUGAAGCACUUAUCAAUUAAGUGUCCAGAUUUUUUACAGUUGAGGAACAGAUAACAGCCCAUCUGAAAUAGGAGAAUCCAGACCAGUACGCAUAUGAGCAGCAGCAGGUCUCCUUCCCUUGUUAAAAUUGUUACUUUGUGGAUAACCAUGGAUCUUGAAGCACUUAUCAAUUAAGUGUCCAGAUUAUUUACAGUAUCUACAAAAUAAAGGUCUCCUAGCUUGGUCAAAAUUGACUCUCUGUUGGUCAAAAUUGACUCUUUCUCUGAAAAGAGGAGGAGGAAUAGACACUGUGGCCUUGUUAAAUCCAACAGGCUGCCUAUUAGUAUGUACAUAAAAAGAGACAGAGUCUGGAUUAAAAUGAGAAGAAGACUGGACUUGUCUUUGUUUCUCAUCAUUGAGGACCAUAUUAUAGACAUUGUCAAGAGAAGGAGGAGGCUGCAUCAUCAAAAGA
rnacentral:lncRNA from 1 species